rnacentral:lncRNA from 1 species
ACAUAUAUUUGCCUUUAUAAAUAAUUUAAUUACACCGACCGUCUCUAGCACAAGUGGUAAAGGACUUGAUGGUUGGUAUCCGAGACCCAAGUUCGAAUCUUAGUUGAUUCACAUUUCUAGCUAAGUUUAUUUCUAAAUGAAAUAAACGAAGCGAAUAGCGUGCUACCUAUCUCUCUCAAAAAAAAAAAAAAAAAAACUAAUAACUCUUUAUUUCUCUUAUACCAUCUUCUUCUUCAUUUUUAGCCAACUCUAUUUAAAUUAUUUUAAUAAAAAUUAUUUUUUAUUUUUAUAUUUUAUAGUCUUAUAAAAUUAUCAAAUUAUUAAUAAGUUCCAAUAAAAAUUUUCUUCAUUACUUAAUUAAAUAUAGUUAAAGAAUUUUGUUAUAUAUAUAUAUAUAUAUAUUUAUUUAUUUAUUUAUUUAUAUAGAACUAGACUGGAAUAAUAUCAGUAGCACCAAGUUAUUGGUGCUAUUAGGUUUUCGCCCCUUGGUUGAAAAAAAUGUACGGGUAGGAUGAUGUUGGGCCUCUAGGGUUGAGUGGGUUAUUGGUUUAAUAAUAUAAUCUAACGGGUGGAAAUAGUUAAAAGGUUAAAUCUAACGGCGGAAAACUUGAUAACACCAAACGCUUAGUAUUAUCGAUAGUAUUCCAGCCGGACUAUAUAUAUAUAUAUAGAGAGAGAGAGAGAGAGAGAGAGAGAGAAAGAGAGAGAGAGAGAGAGAGCUAGGCUCCUAUGCUUUCGAAAGUACGGAGGCCUCCAUGCUUGUAAGUUGUUUUCAAUGAUCGAGCAUCCGAAUCAGUGAUCGGCUCCAUUAGACAUGAUCUACGUUAUUUGAACUAUUUAUAAACUAAAUUUCAUAAUUUUUUGACUUCAUUUGCCUAGUGAAUAAGUAGGCUCAAAAUGAACGGCUAAAAAUAAAAAUCUCACAAAAAAUAGUGAUAAAAGACUCAAAUUUUAAAUCGAAAGUAUUGUUCUUAUUUUUUAUGUUAAGUAAAAUUUUCUAUUAAAGUUUCAUGUAAUUUGGAUUCUUCUACACCGUUGAUCUUUCAAACGUGCCACAUCGGCCGUUAAAAUAGUUAUUUUUGAGACUCUUUGAUCACUUAGUAAAUGAUAUCAAAAAAUUAUGAAAUUUGGUUUCUAAAUAUUCUAAUAGCGUAGAUCAUGCCUAACGGAGCCGAUCGCUGAAUCAGAUACCCCGCCAUCAAAAAUAACUUACAAACACAGAGGUCUCUGUACUUUCGAAAGUAUAGAAGAUGUACUAUAUAUAUAUAUAUNUAUAUAUA